AUCCUUACACAGCACAUGCGCUGCUUUAUCCAGCAGGACCUUGGAACUUGUGGUGGUGUUUGCUAGUGGAGAGGAAAACCUCUCCUGAGCCCUUGCCAGCUGUAAGCAGAGUUCCAUGGCUGGGCCUCUGUCAGUGGAUAAACAGGGUGAAAGGAUCCUCUGUUAGUGGUCCUCAGAACACAUGCUCAGAGAUUCACUGAGACUCACGGCUAUAAGGUACUGCAGGAGAACACAGGAGCAAAGUUAGCCAAAGGAAGAGGCACAUGGACCAAACCAGAGGACAGUGAAUGCAGAUUCCAAAGCCCUUGCCCUGUGCUUCCAGCCACAAGGGCAGUAUUUAAUUCCUACUGUAACAAAUUGUGGCAGCAUUGUGAAAGGUGAAAUGACUACUUAGAGAUUCAGCACACAUGGCUGCUAUUGGUAACUGAUCAGAGUCAUUUUCUACCUACUAUAGACCAAAAUUAUAGGUUUCAGAAGGAAAGAGUGUCAGCACAAGCCAUACUGUUCACACAAACAAUUCAGGUGUUGUAAGAUGAAGAGAGCAGAUGGAAAUCUUCAUCAGAUCCAAGAUCCCAAAUGCCAGCCACAGGCCAAGCUCUGUCCUGGCCUGCAGUAUCAGCCUGUCUCUGUCUUACAUAAUCAGUCUUUAACCAAAUUGUGGUUGGGAGAAGUAGGCCCAGGUGGGCAGACCCUUAUCAUUUCCAUCAUCUAAGGGGAAUGAAGGGUAUAGAGUGAGCCUUUUCUGUUUGUGGAAGAGCUUGGGUGAGGCUCUUCCCUCCCUGUGAAUAUAAACAGCUUUAGGGAAAUUACACAUAGUAGCCGUUACUGCUGACAGCCCUUCUUGGGCACAAGACAUCAUUUCUGGUCUGUUUUGCUUCUGAAAACACAUGCUCGUUUUUUUGUUUUGUUUUGUUUUAAUUUUAUUAGAUUUAUUCAUUUUUUUAAAAUGUCAUGUGUGAGUGUUUUGCCUACAUGUAUGUGUGUAUGUGCACCACAUGCAUGCCUGGUGCCUGUACUACCACUGGCCACUACCACUAUUAAGUACAAUUUUCUAUAGGCUUUUUUAAAAGCACAGACUGAAGAAAGGGACUGAGAAAUUUGACUGUGUUAGCAUGAAGUUUCUCCUAGAAGACACCAUUACAGAGCAGAGUCAUCUGAACAGCCUGAGCUGUGGUCUGUGUGUUGGACGGCAGCAGCGCAGGCUGUCUCAGGGAGAACGAUUAGAGAGGUGUGUGGGGUGUGGACGCAGAUGGGGCCCUAGCAUGCUGGUUUGUUUCCUUCAUGCUCUGGUGCUGCCGACAUAGGUGUGUCCGUAUGGUGACAUUCAGCAAGCUGCAUUUCAAAUUUAGGCAUUCAAAAUGUAUAGUUUAUGUUUUAGUGCAAUGUUUUUUUAAAAGAAAACCACUAUUAAGCUCUUUAUAAGACAUACAACCAGAGCUUUUUCUAAUGUGUUAGAGAUCUCCUACAACUUAAUAAGGAAAGAACAUUUCAACGGAAAUGUCGGCAAAAUAAAGGAGAAAAACCAAGUGCAUGAUCUAAUAGAAAGCUGUGACUCCCUGUUAGCUGUCAGAGACCAUACAAGUGAUGGCUAGGUCAAUGCCUCACCACACCUAAAUUGAUUCAAGUUUCAUCUGAGAAACAAAGUGCCUGAGGAUUUCAACAGCACUAACGUGGCUGCACUGUUGGCAGGGACAGAACUGGAACAUCCACUGUAGGAGCUGAUGUUGUAAUUAGCACAGACCAUGUGUCUUAAUAAUUCCUGUUUGAGAGAAGUUUGUACCAGAAUAUGUUCACCAGUGUGUAUAUAGUAGUAUUAAAAAAAAAAUUAAAAAUUGAUCAACUCAGCUGUCCAUGAA